rnacentral:rRNA from 1 species
AUUGAACGCUGGCGGCAGGCUUAACACAUGCAAGUCGAGCGAGCGGCGGACGGGUGAGUAAUGUCUGGGAAACUGCCUGAUGGAGGGGGAUAACAACCGGAAACGGUAGCUAAUACCGCAUACCAUCAGAUGUGCCCAGAUGGGAUGUGCUAGUAGGUGGGGUAACGGCUCAACUAGGCGACGAUCCCUAACUGGUCUGAGAGGAUGACCAGCCACCCUGGAACUGAGACACGUUCCAGACUCCUACGGGAGGCAGCGGUGGGGAAUAUUGCACAAUGGGCGCAAGCCUGAUGCAGCCAUGCCGCGUGUGUGAAGAAGGCCUUCGGGUUGGAAAGCACUUUCAGCGGGGAGGCGUUACCCGCAGAAGAAGCACCGGCUAACUCCGUGCCAGCAGCCGCGGUAAUUC